rnacentral:rRNA from 1 species
CACCAGCCCCUCGAGUGGCGGGGAUGAUUAUUUGGCCUAAAGCGUCCGUAGCCGGCCAGGUAAGUCCCUUGGGAAAUCUGGCAGCUCAACUGUCAGGCUGCUAGGGGAUGCUGUUUGGCUUGGGACCGGGAGAGGUGAGAGGUACCUUGGGGGUAGGGGUGAAAUCUUGUGAUCCUCGGGGGACCACCAGUGGCGAAGGCGUCUCACCAGAACGGGUCCGACGGUAAGGGACGAAAGCUAGGGGCACGAACCGGAUUAGAUACCCGGGUAGUCCUAGCCGUAAACGAUGCUCGCUAGGUGUCAGUCACGGUGCGACCGUGAUUGGUGCCGUAGGGAAGCCGUGAAGCGAGCCACCUGGGAAGUAUGGCCGCAAGGCUGAAACUUAAAGGAAUUGGCGGGGGAGCACUACAACGGGUGGAGCCUGCGGUUU